rnacentral:rRNA from 1 species
ACGGCGAGUGAAGCGGCAACAGCUCAAAUUUGAAAUCUGGCUCUUUCAGGGUCCGAGUUGUAAUUUGUAGAAGAUGUUUCGAGUGUGGCUCCGGUCUAAGUUCCUUGGAACAGGACGUCAUAGAGGGUGAGAAUCCCGUAUGUGACUGGUUGCCUUCGCUCAUGUGAAACUCUUUCGACGAGUCGAGUUGUUUGGGAAUGCAGCUCAAAAUGGGUGGUAAAUUUCAUCUAAAGCUAAAUAUUGGCCAGAGACCGAUAGCGCACAAGUAGAGUGAUCGAAAGAUGAAAAGCACUUUGGAAAGAGAGUUAAACAGUACGUGAAAUUGUUGAAAGGGAAGCGCUUGCAACCAGACUUGCGCGUGGUUGAUCAUCCGGGGUUCUCCCCGGUGCACUCGAUCACGCUCAGGCCAGCAUCGGUUUGGGUGGUUGGAUAAAGGCCUUGGGAAUGUGGCUUCCUUCGGGGAGUGUUAUAGCCCUCGGUGCAAUGCAGCCUACCCGGACCGAGGACCGCGCUUCGGCUAGGAUGCUGGCGUAAUGGUUGUAAGCGACCCGUCUUGA